ACUUUCAAUUCAAUCUGAAACCAACUUUGCUGCAUACACAGGCAAAUAGAAACUACAACAAUGCCUUUUUUUCUCAUCCUUCUUCAAUUGCUGUGUUCCCUCUUCUUCAUCAUCAUCCAUGAAAGUCUUUCUUCAUCAUCAUCCAUGAAAGUCUCUGAUGUUGAACAUGGGUGUCAAUCAAAAGCACCUUCUUCAGAGAACCAAAAGAAAAAACCAAAAUCAAAGGGAGCACCAGUUGUCAUGUCUUAUUUUCNUAUUAACUCUUCUCUCUCACGCUUGUAAUAAGGAUGGUGUCUCAUUCUUUGAAUGAAUUGUAACUAUUAUUAUUAUUAUAG
rnacentral:lncRNA from 1 species